UCAAUUCUCAGUAAUUAUAGUUGACCAGAAGAAAAGCUUAACUCUAACUAAACACUCUGAUUGAUUUUGAUUUUGAUUUGACCACACUAACCCUUCCUCUUCGUUCUCACUGUGCGUGCUAGCUGCUGCAUUUUCAAAUUUCCAUGGCCGAAAAUGCAAAGCGUUUCAUCAUCGGAAUCGAUCUCGGCACCACCUACUCUUGCGUCGGAGUCUGGCACCACGACAGUGUCCAAAUAAUCACAAACGACCACGGCAACCGGACCACCCCUUCUUAUGUCGCUUUCACGGACUCCGAACGCUUAAUUGGUGAUGCUGCCAAGAGCCAGGUCAUCAGGAACCCCAUCAACACUGUCUUCGAUGCCAAGCGUUUGAUUGGAAGGAGAUUCUCUGAUGCGUCCGUUCAGAGUGACACGAAGCUAUGGCCAUUCAAGGUUAUUGCUGGUCCGGGCGACAAGCCCAUCAUUGUUGUUAGCUACAAGAAUGAGGAGAAGCAACUCACUGCUGAGGAGAUUUCCUCCAUGGUCCUCAUCAAGAUGCGCGAGAUCGCCGAGGCUUAUCUUGGUUCCACCGUGAAGGACGUUGUUGUCACUGUUCCAGCAUACUUCAAUGACUCUCAGCGCCAGGCCACCAAGGAUGCUGGUGUCAUCGCUGGCCUUAAUGUCAUGCGUAUCAUCAAUGAACCCACUGCUGCUGCCCUUGCCUAUGGCCUUGAUGAUAUGGAGGCCGUCGUUGAUGGUGAGAAGAACGUUUUGAUUUUUGACCUUGGUGGUGGUACUUUUGAUGUCUCUCUUCUAUCCAUUGUAGACAGUGUCUUUGAAGUUCUUGCCACUGCAGGAGACAGCCAUCUUGGAGGUGAAGACUUCGAUAACAGGAUGGUUAAGAAUUUUGUUGAGGAGUUCAAGAGGAAGCACGAGAAGGAAAUUAGUGGGAACCCGAGGGCUUUAAGAAAGUUGAGGACCACAUGUGAAAGGGCAAAGAGGAUACUCUCAUCCACUGUACAGACCACCAUUGAGAUUGACUCAUUGUAUGAAGGUAUUGACUUCUAUACCACAAUCACUCGUGAAAGGUUUGAAGAACUCAACAUGGACCUCUUCAGCAACUGCAUGGACACUGUUGAGCGGUGUUUGAGGGAUGCUAUAAUGGACAAGAGCAGUGUCCAUGAUAUUGUUCUUGUUGGUGGGUCUACGAGGAUCCCAAAAGUGCAACAGUUGUUGCAAGAUUUCUUCAAUGGGAAGGAGCUCUGCAAGAGCAUCAACCCAGAUGAGGCAGUUGCUUAUGGAGCUGCUCUUCAGGCUGCUAUCUUGAACCGUGAGAAGAACAAGAAGGUUAAGGAGCUUACGUUGGUGGAUGUCACUGCCCUUUCACUUGGUGUGGAAACUGUUGGUGGUGUCAUGACUGUCCUGAUUCCAAAAAACCGUCCAAUCCCGUACAUGAAGGAGCAGGUUUUCUCAACCUACUCCGACAACCAGCUUAGUGUGUUGAUCAGGGUGUACGAGGGUGAGAGAACCAGUACCAGGGACAAUAACUUGCUAGGUAAAUUCGAGCUUUCUGGCAUCCUUCCUGCUCCAAGGGGUGUUCCUCAGAUCAAUGUUUGCUUUCAAAUUGAUCACAAUAGUAUCAUGAAUGUCUCUGCCGAAGACCAGACUACUGGGAAGAAAAACAUUAUCACUAUUAGAAAUGGCGAGGGCAGGCUCUCAAAGGAGGAGAUUGAGAUGAUGGUGCAGGAGGCGGAGAAGUACAAGGCUGAGGAUGAGGAGCACAAGAAGAACGUAAAGGCCAAGAUUGUCUCGGAACAAACGGUGGAGAGGUACCGUUUUACAAAAGAUGCUCCAGAUCAACACUUGGAGGCACAAGUAGAACAUGAUACUCGCCAUGAUCAGAUUGCGUUACCAUCCCUAAGUCCCAGUUUACAGUAUUUCCCUUCCAGAAUCUUUGGGUAUUAUUUCAACUCUACAAAAGUGGCUUCGCAAAAAAUUAUAAAGGGACUAAAAGAUGAUAAUUGCUAUGUUAUUGGAUUGUAUGGAAAGAGAGGCAGUGGUAAAACAGCAUUGGUGAAAGCUGAGAUGGAAGAGUAUGAAAAGAUUUUCCGUAGAGUGAUAUUUCUCUCCGUGUCUGAGAAUCAAGAUAUCAAGAGCAUUCGAGUGGGAAUUUCUAGCUCCUUGAAUGUGUUUGAUAAAGAUGACAGUGAUGGUGCGAGAAUAAUGAAAAUAAUUUUGGCAUUAGAAAGGAAGGAUAGAUCUACCCUAGUCAUCUUGGAUAAUUUUCCGUCAAAGUCUAAACUGGAAGAAUUGGGAAUUCCUUAUAAUAGCAAACAGUACAAGUUCCUUUUGACCGCACGUGAUGAGACAGAGUGCAUCUCAAUGGGAUGUGAUCAUUUGGUUCUUCUGAAGCCCUUAUCCGAUGAAGAAGCUUUUACCCUGCUACAUAAACUGUCCGGUGUUGAAUCCCAAAGUGAUCUAUUUAAAGUGGUACGAGAUGUUGCUUAUAAAUGCAAUGGCUUACCUGGUUUAAUUAAAGAUGUGGCGUUUUCCUUGAAAAAGAAGCCUAUUGAGAAGUGGGAAGAAUCCUUAGUCAGUCUAAGCCACUCAACGGCACGCUACCAAAUUUUUAUCAGUUUUAGAGGAAAGGACACUCGGGAGAUUUUCACAAAUCAUCUCUAUGAGGCUUUGUGUAAAGAGGGAUUCGAGACCUUCAUAGAUGAUGAAGCAUUGGAGGGUGGAUCCCCAAUUGAUAAGCUUCUUGAAGCCAUUGAAGAAUCAAGGUUUGCAAUUGUUGUUUUGUCAGAAAAUUUUGCAGACUCUAAAUGGUGUCUUAAAGAACUUGUCAAGAUUCUUGAUUGUCGUAAAAGGAAGAAACAAUUGGUUUUGCCAAUUUUUUAUGAAGUGGAACCAACCGACAUAAGGCAUCUAAAAGGGAGGUAUGGUGAAGCUAUGGCCGAACAUGAAAAAAAGUUAGCCAAAGAUUCUAAGAUGGCAUUGGAAUGGACAUUAGCUUUGAGUGAGAUUUCCCAAUUGAAAGGAGAACAUUUCCACAUUUCCAACUUCAAAGGAGAGCAUUACGAAAGGUACAGAGAUCAACUUAUUGGAAAGAUCAUAAGAUUUGCCCAUAAUAAUAAACAUCGCUUGCAUAUACAAAGCAUGUAUAUGAACUAGAUGAAAGACUUUAGCUUCUCUUACUGUGAGUGCAGCAUAAGACUUUAGCUUCUCUUACUGUGACUAGUUUAGCUGAUCCUUCUGUCAAUACUCGUAUUAUAUUUGGAGCUGUUGUUGAUGACCGUUACACCGGAGAAAUUGAAGUGACUAUCAUUUCCACUGGCUUUUCGCAGUCUUUUCAGAAGAAGCUACAAACAGAUCCAAGGUUUGCAAAACUUCUUGACAAAGUGGCCGAGAGAAAAGAAAGUGACACUGAUGAUUGUGCUUCAAACAUGCUGUCUCAUAAAAACAUUAUGGAAGGAUGAAAAUGCCCUUAAUGACCAUGGGAACAUAUGAAAUUCCAAUCUUUCCCUUCUUCCUUCACCAUCAACCUUCAAACCCAGGUCAAAACUUCCAUCUUCAUCCUUUCUUUUUCAAACCUAAUAGCUCAUACACUAGCAUUAGAAAUCUUGAAAAUUCCAAAUUCCACUCUAAAAUAAGUAACAUAAGCUAAAAGCAAAAUAAAUUUUUUGUUAUGCUUAUGCAUCAUGAUUAUAAAUGAACAGAGAGAAAGUAAUGACCUCAUAGUCAUUUUUGUGAGCACCGGGAAUCUCAAGAGCUUCAACAUCGAAAGAAUCAAUUUGAGGACCAGUGCGAAUGAGUUUUUGUUCGGCGUUAUCUUCAACUUCGGAAUCAGGUACAAUGGCGCGUCCUCUGGAUCUCAAAUCGGCGUGCUAUUCCUCUAUAUCGGGCACGUCCUCAUCUUCAUCCGCUUGGAAAACCCAUCGAUGAGUCCAUCGAGAAUCUGCCAUUGAUUUCGCAAGUGUAGAGAUCCUUUUGCAUAUAUAACUAUAUAAGGCUUUUUGAAAUAACUGAUUUCGACAAUGCAAUAUUGGGAUCCACCCUUGAGUCAAAUGUUAUGUUACUGAUAGCCUCAUUGAAUUCAGCUGUAAAUUUGAAAUACUUGAGUUGGAGGAUUUUUGCUAAUUAGCACCAAGUCACCGUAGAUAAUAGCAAAUAAACAUGUCACGUUAAAAAUUUGUUUUUUAUUUUUACCAUGAAAAAUUUGAAAAUAACUGAGAUAAGGUUUAUUUUAC